rnacentral:tRNA from 1 species
CUGUGGAUAGCUCAAUCGGGUAGAGCAGCCGUCUUGUAAACGGUCGGUCGCGGGUUCGAAUCCCGCUCCAGAAC